GCUCCGCUCCCGGGAUGCCUCCGGCAACCUUAUCUACAGGCAUGAAGUGACGGAGACAGGUUUAACCCCUUGGCAAGAAAGUGUCAGGCUGGAGAGGAUGGAGGGACCCCAGACAGAAAAAGGGGAGAAGAGCUUGUGAUCUCUUCAUUCUCCUGGUUCUGUUGUUCCAAUCUGUCUCCCGCCCUGCUAUGGGCGGUCUGACUCUCUCUCUCUCUCCCGUUCCUGACAGACUACCAUGGCCCUCUAACACACAGAACAGCAAAUAUCAAGUCUGUUCAGCAUUUAAAGCCACAUGGCAGCACUGGCGGAACAUCAAUAUUAAAUAGACGGGCCCUUGUUUCCAUGGGAAGCUUGAGAUCACCAAAACAGCUCUGCAAAUUUUCCAAAGGAAAUCUAAGGCCCUCUCCUCCUUUUCAACUCUGGGCCCAAACUGUCUGUCCCAGACAUACCGACUCAUAGAAGGCUCAAACGUCUAUCGUCAUCGGGACAAAAGGCGCUCUUCAACCACUCUGUCUUGGGGCCGUGCGAUUCUCACGGGUUACAGAUCCCUUCCAGGAAGCUCCCUAAAGCGGCCCAACGCCACCCAAGCAGGAGCACUGGAGGACCCCCCACCCCCCAUCCCCAGGGAAGCCCUCUUCAGCCUAGGCUCCGGGCUGGGUCUUCCUCAUCCCAGCGCCUCCCUCGCUGGGGAUACCUAACAGGGGACGUGAAGAUGGAAGUCUGCAAAGCCCUUUACACACACGGGGGAUCCCCACGAGGAGCCUCCCGGCUGCGGUCUUAACAUGCACUAAGACUUUGGGACACCCUGGGUUUCACCACCCUGACCACCCCUGCCCCACCCGAUAGCUCCAAGAUGGAGGUCCCGCAGCUAUCACCCAUUUCAAUUUGUAGAAGAGGGAGUGGAGAGGUGAAGGGACUUGCCUCCCCCUGCAUGGGCAGGAAGGAGAAGAGGCGGCAUCUGAAUUGUGGCUCCUGAGCCUUCCCGAACUGAGGGGCCCUUGGUCCAGGAUCAGUCCCAGAUGAAGACACUCCUUCCACCGGUGCAGAUUGCGAUCUUCUUUGACACUUAGAGGCUCACACUGGCACAAGGCUCUGUGCCUUUUACCCAGGUUCUCUGAGGCCAGGCCAGGGAGCACAUGGUCUAGACGGUCCCCCCAAGAUGGACCCAGUGGCCCGCGAUGCUAAUCUAGGUUGGAAGUAGGCUCCUCCUCAGAAGGGUCGCACAGGCUGAUGGAUUUGGUAUCCAAAGCAACUUAUCUGGACCUUUGCCUGAGAUAUAAAGGGCUGCAAUGUGCCACGGCAGAGGGACAAUUCACAGCCACAAAGUCACCGAUCCUCAAAGAUGCACUUGUGCGCGGGAGCGCACACACACACACACACACACACACACACACACACACACACACACACACAUUUUCCUUCAAAGCACUGGAUGCCGUUCAAGUUUUAUUUCCAUGUUUUGGGAAAACGUUUUAUCUUUCUUAUUUCACAGAAGAUGGCCAAAUACCCCAUUCAGACCCUAAUAUGCCUACGCACGCAGGGCUCUAGUUUACUCUCUGAAGACCUCAGCUAGAACAGUGGACAAGACGCGAUCAGAGGAAUAAAUCUGACAAUCUGCCCGGCCCGCCUGUAGGACAUGUGGUAUUUCUGACGACAGCCAAGGUGCCCCUGACACGCCACGCAGGGAGUGUCACUGGAGGAGAAGCAAGGCAGCCCCCAGCCCUCUGAGCUGCAGUCUGGUGAAGUCCCUGCAGCAGGGACGGUCCCUUCAUGCACAUCCCAUUAAAACAAAAUAACUACAACUACAAAACCUGCCGUCUGCUGCUUUCCCAUCUUCUUUAUUAAGCUGGCCAUUAAUUACUGGUAACAACUAAUUUAGCCUGGGUAUUUUUACUGCAUAAUUAUAAAGGAUGCAGGCAGGGUAUCCAGCAUGCUGGCCAAACCAUUUUG